rnacentral:rRNA from 1 species
GACGAGCGCUGGCGGCGUGCUUAACACAUGCAAGUCGAACGAUGAAGCCUAGCUUGCUAGGUGGAUUAGUGGCGAACGGGUGAGUAAUACGUGAGUGACCUACCUUUGACUCUGGGAUAAGCCUGGGAAACUGGGUCUAAUACCGGAUACGACCAAUCUCCGCAUGGGGUGUUGGUGGAAAGCGUUAUGGAGUGGUUUUAGAUGGGCUCACGGCCUAUCAGCUUGUUGGUGAGGUAAUGGCUUACCAAGGCGACGACGGGUAGCCGGCCUGAGAGGGUGACCGGCCACACUGGGACUGAGACACGGCCCAGACUCCUACGGGAGGCAGCAGUGGGGAAUAUUGCACAAUGGGCGCAAGCCUGAUGCAGCGACGCCGCGUGAGGGAUGACGGCCUUCGGGUUGUAAACCUCUGUUAGCAUCGAAGAAGCGAAAGUGACGUAGGGCAGAAAAGC